rnacentral:lncRNA from 1 species
GUUGCAGGGUGGCAUUUUGGGGAGAAAUUCACAAAGACUGAGCUGUUCCUCUCCAGCUUAAUGUUUGUGAUGAACCACGGGGGGGAAAACGGUGCCCCAGAGCUGACUGCCACCAGCGUGCGCUGCGGCAGCCAAGGGGCUGAGCGUGUUUGUGCACACGUGUGGGGACAGAUGGGCGAGUGGCAAGGGGAAUCCCUCUGCUUCCUCAAGCAGAGAUUGCUUGUAUUGUCCUUUUCUGUGCAUAGCAGGUAACAAAUGAAGCAGCUGGCGUGCAUCUUAACCAGCCAGAGAUCCGGAGGCAGGGGGAGAAGGAAAAGCGCAGCCAGUCCAAAAGAUGCUUUGAAAGGGAGAAAACCUUGCUGCCAGGCUUCCUUCCAAGAGCAAAUUCUCUCUCUCUUUCUCUCCCUUUUGGUGCUGUGUUAUUCCUCCGUGGCCAGGAGGCUGCAGGCAUUUCAGAUCUCUUCUUCAAGCCCAUGUUUCAAAAAAAAGGGCCUGCAGAAUGUUUGCUUCUCAGGCUCAGCAAAUGGGAAGUGCACAAUGCAGCCGUCUCUAAGCCUCUCUUCUCCUGUCUCGGGGAGAAAGGAAUUUGCCAAGCCCUAGAGCCUGACUCACUCGCUGUGUGAGCAUGAAUUAACCAGGAAUGUUCGAGAAUUAUUCCUGAAUAAUUCAUGAACCUGAAUUAAUCAUGCAUUUUCAUGAAUUAUUCAUGAAUAACUCAUGGAAAUGCAAGGUUUAUUCAUGCUCCAAAAAAUCCAAGGCUUUUUCUCUUCUCUUCUGCUUUCUCUCCCUUGGGGACAGCAGGUGGGAGCUUUCUAAGCCAGACAAAGGAGACCUGAGAAGGAACUGUGGUGAAGGGACAAGCCCAAGGCAAAGGACUGUCCGGCCACCUCCUCUCCUGGAGCAGGCAGCUGAGAUCUGCAUAGCCAGGAGACAUUUUGCAAGACUCAACACCUGGAGCAGUGCUAACCAGGGAAACGAGCACCUGGUAAGUGGGGCAGGAAGGAGCAGCAGAGGAGUGAAGAUCAGUGCUUUUUGCUUUAAAUGGUGGGCAGCCCCGAUGUCAUCCAAGCUCUACGUCCUCAUCAGCUGGCCCGACGGCAGCCGUGUCAUCAACAUCGAGAACAUCAAGGAGCCCCGCAAGCCCUUCCAUCUCUACACGGUGGGCGAGCAGGUGCUGGCCCGCUGCCCCGGCUUCAGCGGGCUCUACUGGGGCAUGGUGGAGGGCAUCAGUGAGCACAAAGAUGUCCUGGAGAAGAAGCUGCAGGAAGACAGACAGCUCCUGGGGACGUUAAAAGAUGAACCGGCCAACCACAGCAUGAUGCCACCUCAGGCAAAAAAAUCCAGGAAAACCUUCCCAAAAUGGACCCCAGGGAAUGCCUCCAGGAAAUACGGGGACCGGAGUUACCCCAGCAAGCCGCUGCUGCGGGCAGCCGAGGCCAGCCUGCCCGGUGAUGUUGGCAGCUCCUCCAUCAUCAAGGAGAGACGUGCCCUGGGGCCACCCCACCCAGCCAGUGCCUUCACCCCCCCGGCCCCUUUCGUCACCCUUGCUGUGCCAGGGACAUCCCAGGGUGAAGAGGACAGGGCUGGCACCGCUACCAGAGAUUACGUUGCCCUGGCAAUGAAGAGGAAGUCAGAUGGCAUCUUGUCCCAGUGCCAGCAACACGUCUGUCUGAACAGCUGUGAAGAACGAAAGCUGGAUGCUUUGCAAGAGACGGAUGACUUUGAGAGAGUUCAGAAAAAAUUCGGUCCUGGUGAAAUGGAAAGGGAGAAGGUAGAGCAGCUGGAGAGGAUGGUCUUGGACCUGCAGCAGGACGUCCUCUCUCUGAAGAAGAAGGUGCAGCGGCUGGAAUCCCUCUCCUUCCAGGAGGAGCCCCACCGGCCGCCCUGCGAGGUGGUGGAGCUCUUCAACGGCUACACCAAGGAACAGCUCAAAGAGGCCAUCCGUUUCGACCAGAAAAUCAGCACGGCCUGCAAGACUCUGCUCUACAAGCUCUUCACCUCCGACUACAUCCAGAGCCACUCCAUCACGGGGCGGAGGGGCAACACGUUCCGGGAGGCGAAGCCCAUGAUGGACGAACGCUGCAUCAAAAUCAUCCGGGUGCUGUUGAAACAGAAGUUUGGCGAUCACCUCAGCGACACGGUGAUCACGGAGAAGAUACAGAACGUGCAGAAAGCCCUGAGGCAGAAGUUUAAGACAGAAUGUCUCUGA